UGCCCCGGAUCGCUUAUUGCACCACAUGUGUUUUUCACUGGACAGCUGCUUUGGCGGGGGGACCCCUUUCCGCCGCCAGAAGUCACAACUAAACCAAACUUUUUAUUACCAGUCAACCAAUCAUUUUAAUAAUCAAAACUUUCAACAACGGAUCUCUUGGUUCUCGCAUCCAUGAAGAACGCAGCGAAAUGCCAUACCUAAUAUGAAUUGCAGAUAUUCCUGAAUCAUCCAAUCUUUGAACGCACAUUGCGCCCUUUGGUAUUCCAAAGGGCAUGCCUGUUUGAACGUCAUUUCUCCCUCCAGCCCGCGGGUUUGGUGUUGAACAAUACCCCAGGGUUGUUUGAAAGACGUACGUGGAAACUAUAUUAACGACUUAAGUUCUACCAAAACGCUUGUGCAGUCCGCCCACCACAGCUUUUCUAACUUUUGACCUCCAAUCAGGUAAGACUACCCGCUGAACUUAAGCAUAUCAAUAAACGGAAGAAAAGGAUCAUUACGAAUUGCCUAAUUGCCCACCUGGGUUUUUCUUGGAAGCUGCUUUGGCGGGGGGAUCUUUCCGCCGCACAGAUCUCAUAAACAACUUUUUAUUACUUCACCAUUUUAAAUAUCAAAUUUAAACAAAUUUCUUUUUUCUC
rnacentral:rRNA from 1 species